rnacentral:rRNA from 1 species
AUUGAACGCUGGCGGCAGGCCUAACACAUGCAAGUCGAGCGAGCGGCGGACGGGUGAGGAAUGGCUGGGAAACUGCCUGUUGGAGGGGGAUAACUACGGGAAACGGUAGCUAAUCCCGCAUACCAUCAGAUGUGCCGAGAUGGGAUUAGCUGGUAGGUGGGGUAACGGCUCACAUAGGCGACGAUCCCUAGCUGGUCUGAGAGGAUGACCAGCCACACUGGAACUGAGACACGGUCCAGACUCCUACGGGAGGCAGCAGUGGGGAAUAUUGGACAAGGGGCGAAAGUCUGAUGCAGCAAUGCCGCGUGUGUGAAGAAGGCCUUCGGAUUGUAAAGCACUUUCAGCGGGGAGGCGUUACCCGCAGAAGAAGCACCGGCUAACUCCGUGCCAGCAGCCGCGGUAAUAC